rnacentral:rRNA from 1 species
GACGAACGCUGGCGGCGUGCUUAACACAUGCAAGUCGAGCGGUAAGGCCCUUUCGGGGGUACACGAGCGGCGAACGGGUGAGUAACACGUGGGUGACCUGCCCUCAGCUCUGGGAUAAGCCUGGGAAACCGGGUCUAAUACCGGAUAUGACUCCAUGACGCAUGUUGUGGGGUGGAAAGCCUUGUGCGGCUGAGGAUGGGCCCGCGGCCUGUCAGCUUGUUGGUGGGGUGAUGGCCUACCAAGGCGACGACGGGUAGCCGGCCUGAGAGGGCGACCGGCCACACUGGGACUGAGACACGGCCCAGACUCCUACGGGAGGCAGCAGUGGGGAAUCUUGCGCAAUGGGCGAAAGCCUGACGCAGCGACGCCGCGUGAGGGAUGACGGCCU